AAAAGUAGGUGACAUACUUUUGCAGCACCCUUUUCUUCUUUUUGACUCUGGCUGAGUGGACCAUGGAACCGUUGCAAAUACUAAUCAAUCUGGUGCCGAAGAUACAGGCUGUUCAACUACUCUGCCUCCACCAGUAAUCAAAACGAGCUUUCGAACUCUCUUCUUCACAGCUACAAUCUCGGUUCAUAAGCAUAAAUAUACUCAAAGCCCCCCUGCAUAUAUGGUCCUUUGAAAGAGCAGUAUAAUAUGGCACAGAGAAAAGAGAACAUUGUUCUUUUCCCUUUCAUGAUGCAAGGCCAUAUCAUCCCUUUCCUGGCUUUAGCCCUCCACAUAGAACAAAGAACGGACUACUCCAUUACCUUUGUCAACACCCCUCUUAACAUCAAGAAGCUCAGGUACUCUCUCCCUCCUGAAUCCUCCAUUAACCUUGUUGAGAUCCCCUUCUCCAGCUCCGACCAUGGUCUCCCACCCAAUACCGAGAACACCGACGCCCUUCCCUACCACCUCGUCAUCCGCCUCCUAGAAGCUUCUGUCUCUCUCGAACCAGCUUUCAAGAAACUCAUCCAGAAUCUCAUCGAAGAGCAACAAGGCCGUCCCCCGCUUUGCAUUAUCGUCGAUAUUUUCUUUGGAUGGGCUGCAAACGUUGCCAGAGAGCUAAACGUGUUCCAGGCAAUCUUCAGCGGCGCAAGUGGGUGCGGCUUGGCCUACUACUAUUCCCUUUGGAUGAACCUUCCUCACAGGAAGGUCGAUUCCGAUGAGUUUUCGUUGCCUGAUUUUCCAGAAGCUUCAAGAGUUCAUAUUACACAGUUGCCAACAAAUAUACUUGAAGCUGAUGGUGGAGAUGCUUGGUCAGUCUUUCAGAAGAAGAAUCUUUCUGGGUGGAUGAAAUCUGAUGGGAUAUUGUUCAACACUGUGGAGCAAUUUGACCAUAUUGGAUUGUCGUACUUUAGGGACAAACUGGGCCGGCCUGCCUGGUCGAUUGGACCGGUCCUGUUAUCUGCGGAAAACCGAUCACCUUUUGGGAAGGAAGGUGGCAUUAGUCCGGAGCUUUGUAUCGAAUGGCUGAGUACAAAACCUCUGAAUUCUGUUUUGUACGUGUCUUUUGGGUCGAUGAAUACGAUCUCUGCAAAACAGAUGAUGCAGUUGGCUACGGGGUUGGAGGCUAGUGGCAAGAAUUUCAUCUGGGUUGUUAGGCCACCGGUUGGGUUUGACAUAAACUCGGAUUUCAAUGCCAAAGAAUGGUUACCAGAAGGAUUCGAAGAGAGGACCAAGAAUUCAGGAAGGGGAUUACUGGUGCAGAAAUGGGCACCCCAGGAGGAAAUUUUGAGCCACAAGUCUGUUUGUGCAUUUUUGACCCAUUGUGGGUGGAAUUCAGUGCUCGAAGCUCUUAGUCACGGCGUGCCAAUGAUUGGAUGGCCGAUGGCAGCGGAGCAGUUUUUCAACGUCAAGUUGCUGCAGGAACAAGUUGGAGUUUGUGUGGAGUUAGCUAGGGGGAAGAGCUGUGAGGUUAGACAUGAAGAUAUAGUUUCAAAAGUUCAGUUGGUGAUGAACGAGACACAGGAAGGGAAUGAAAUGAGAAGGAAAGCUUCUCAAGUGAUGAAGACCAUAAGGAAUGCCAUGAAAGAUGAGGAAGGUUUCAGGGGGUCUUCCAUCAAAGCAAUGGACAACUUUUUCAGUGCUGCAGAGUCCAAGAGGCAGCAGACUCAGAUAGAAAAUAAUGUUGCCGCUUGCUUCAAGCAGCACUAGUGCUAUAUAUCGCCAUAUUUAGCUAAUUGCAGUUUGACUACGUUUGAGCAAUGCUGUGAUACUAGACAUCAGGGAGAAUUAGGAGGACCUAGCUACUUCGACAUCUACUGCUAGAGGCAAACCAGAUUAAAGCAUGGGAUAGAAAAACAGAGCAUCCUCCAAAGACAGGGCAUGCCUCUUGGCUACAAGUUCCGAAGACAGAGACUCAAGGGGCAAAGACCACCUGUUGGGUGCUGCGAGAGCUGAAAAAUCUCUCUUCACUUGAGCUUGGUGAGAUGCAAAUAACUUAUUCACAACCAGCUAUAACAAGACAAUACAAGUUUUGUAGUACAUAACAUUUUCCAUGAAAGUGAUAAUUUUUUUUUUUUUAUAAGAAAUG